UUAAAGUAGUUUCGUACCCGCUCACCUGCAUACCGCCAUUUUCGCAACGCUUCACAGGCUGUGAAAUCCGUCAUUUGCGAUGUUCCUAUUGUAAAAAGAUGACAGUGCCGGGAAAGUGUCAAAAAUCAAAGUUUGAUCGAUAUGAGAGUCUAAAAUUAGGAAUUUAUUAUUUAUAAAACUCUUUAAUUGAAAAAUGGUGAACCUAACAGCCGCUUACGUUGAAAAGAAAUGUUCUCAAACUCAAUCAAAUAAAUCACUCACAAAGGAAAUUCAUAAGGAUCAUGUGAGGAAAAUCACACAUUUGUUUAUGAAUAAUAAAUUCAUCAGUACUAUUGGAAAUUUGUCCACCUGUUCAAAUCUAAAAGUAAUCUAUCUUCAAAAUAAUUGUAUUACGAGAAUAGAAAACUUGCAUUUUGCAACGGAAUUGACCCAUUUGUAUCUACAGCACAACAAUUUGACGAAAAUCGAAAAUCUAGAUUCGCUUACGAAUCUUGUUAAACUUUAUUUGGGUUAUAAUAAUAUCAGUAUUGUGGAAGGUUUGGAAAAUUUAAAAUUUUUGAAAGAAUUACACAUCGAGAAACAAAGAUUGGAUCCAGGAGAAUCUUUAUGUUUUGACCCAAGAAGUUUAAUUACGCUAUCGAAAUGCCUUGAAGUAUUAAAUGUAACUGGCAAUAGAAUUUCAUCUUUAGAAGAAAUAAGACAUUUAAAAAAACUGGAAAUACUUGAAGCUAAAAAUAAUUUGAUGAAAAGCAUUGAAGACGUAACAGAAUCUGUUAGGAGUCUCCCCUUUUUACGACAAUUGUCCCUAGAAGGAAAUCCAGUAACAAAAACUUACAGAUACCGAGAAAACCUGAUAGCAAAUCACGAUUAUUUAGCAAAUCUGGAUGGAAAACAAAUUACAGAGAAUUGUAGAAAUUUCAUGAAGAAAUUUAAAUUAGAAAAGUUGUUACAACAAACUAGAAAAAAACCUGAGCUGUCUCUAAGCGAGGAUAUAACAAACUCUUUGAAUCUUCCACCUGCAUUUAAGAGAUCAAUUUCAAGAGCAGUAUUUCAACACGUUGGUCCAAAAUUUCCGAUAUCAGUCACAUCCGCAAAUGGAGAAAUUCAAUCACAAUUUCCCCCCUGGAAGACAAAAUCUAGCAAUUAAAUUUCGACUACAGAUUGGCAAAUGUUUUCAUUCAGAUAAAAAAAAAUAAAAUAAAAAAAGCCCUGGAAGGAUCAAUUUUCAAUAGAAAAUUUAAUUAUCAACCAAGAAUGAGUAUUUUUAAACCAAACAGUAUAAUUUCCAAUGACAACAAAUAUCAUCUGCAGACAAAAAAUUUGCAUUUACAACCGAACAGCUGAAUCUUAGAGCCAAAGCUGAAUCUGUGAAAGGAUCUAAAGGCAAUCACACGAUGCCUCGACCAUUUUGGAGAAGCAUAUCAAAAGUGAAGAAACAAAUCAAUAUCCCACGACCUCGUCAAGGCAGUGUCACA